GCCCGUGUGGCUCAGAGGGUAGAGCGUUGGCCUGCAGACUGAAGGGUCCCGGGUUCGAUUCCAGCCAAGGGCA
rnacentral:tRNA from 1 species